rnacentral:hammerhead_ribozyme from 1 species
AUCCAGCUGACGAGUCUCAAAUAGGAUGGCACGCGCGUCCUGGAU